AUUUCAAGCCCGGAAUUAAAACCCUCACAAAACCCACGCAACAAGCUCUUCACUUGACAUGUACAGGAAGACAGUGAAGGAACGGAAGGUCGUGGUUGAUUAGCACUGAACAUUGGAACUGGUGAAAAAAACUUUACCGUUUUAGUUGCGUUUCAAGAUGGCUUUUAGAGGAAGAGGACGCGGCAGAGGACGAUUUGGAGGAGGUGGUGGAUUUAGCUAUGCUAGACAAGAAUCUUUUGUGGAGUUUCCUGACAUUCAGUUACCUGAUCACAAAUAUGUCAAGGAAGAGAAGGCCUUAGUUUUUGUGAAUUCAAAGUUGCAGAAUUUUUGGAAAUCUUCAGCUUAUUAUCUUGAAGACACUGUUUCAAAGAAGAGCCAAAGCAUGGACAUAGAAAGAUUUUCUGAUUGGGUGAAACCAAAGAACACAUCAAAAAGAGAUCAACUUAACCAUUUUCUGCUGCUCAGUUCUGCAAAUUUUCCUGACGAACUUGUAGAAGGUGCAAAGAUGGAGCAGAAACGUCCAAAAAAAGUUCGAUGGAAUCCGGAUGCAGACCGGAAAUUUGAUUUUUUUGAGAAGCUUGAGCAGAAGUUUCAGGUAAAAUAUUUGUAUACCUAUUCUUUUUGGGCUUAUCUGAUAUCUCUAGGGACGAGAAGACAAAGGUGAGAAGGAAAAGAAAGAAGGUGACGAUGAUGAAGAGCUUGAUGAUGACGAAGUAGAAGGUUCUGAGGAAGAUUUUAGUGAUGACGACUAUAAUCAGAAUGUUGAUUUUGAUGAUGAUGAAGAUGACUUUAAUGCGGAUGAAGUUGAAGAUGAAGCUGAAAUGUAGGUGCCCCAGAGGAUGUUUUCCUGGCCUUCAUAUAACAGCAUAUUGCAAGUUUUGCGGAUUUAUAAAGUAUUCACAUUGUUAAAUAUCAAAUCACAACCCGGCGUUUCUCUUGGUGGUAAAACUUCAAGAGCCUUUUUAAAUGGUUACCUAAUGUAAAUUUCAUCUUUUCUUUUUUGGUAGAAAACACUUGGCAAUGCAGUAGCUUAUAAAUGCUCGAGAAAAUUUUGAAAUAUUUUUGAUACUCUGCAUAAGGAUUCUUUGAUUCUACUCGAAUAACUUAAAAUGUUAGCUUCAAAA